rnacentral:rRNA from 1 species
GUAGGGAAUAUUGGGCAAUGGACGAAAGUCUGACCCAGCAACGCCGCGUGUGCGACGAAGGUCUUCGGAUCGUAAAGCACUUUUCUGGGAGAUGAGAAAGGACAGUAUCCCAGGAAUAAGUCUCGGCUAACUACGUGCCAGCAGCCGCGGUAAAACGUAGGAGACGAGCGUUAUCCGGAUUUACUGGGCGUAAAGCGCGUGCAGGCGGCUUGGCAAGUUGGAUGUGAAAUCUCCCGGCUCAACUGGGAGGGGUCGUUCAAAACUACCGAGCUAGAGGAUGGUAGAGGAAGGUGGAAUUCCCGGUGUAGUGGUGAAAUGCGUAGAUAUCGGGAGGAACACCAGUGGCGAAAGCGGCCUUCUGGACCAUUCCUGACGCUCAGACGCGAAAGCUAGGGGAGCGAACGGGAUUAGAAACCCGGGUAGUCC